AGAGUUUGAUCUUGGCUCAGGAUGAACGCCGGCGGUGUGCCUAAUACAUGCAAGUCGUACGCACUGGCCCAACUGAUUGAUGGUGCUUGCACCUGAUUGACGAUGGAUCACCAGUGAGUGGCGGACGGGUGAGUAACACGUAGGUAACCUGCCCCGGAGCGGGGGAUAACAUUUGGAAACAGAUGCUAAUACCGCAUAACAACAAAAGCCACAUGGCUUUUGUUUGAAAGAUGGCCUUGGCUAUCACUCUGGGAUGGACCUGCGGUGCAUUAGCUAGUUGGUAAGGUAACGGCUUACCAAGGCGAUGAUGCAUAGCCGAGUUGAGAGACUGAUCGGCCACAAUGGAACUGAGACACGGUCCAUACUCCUACGGGAGGCAGCAGUAGGGAAUCUUCCACAAUGGGCGCAAGCCUGAUGGAGCAACACCGCGUGAGUGAAGAAGGGUUUCGGCUCGUAAAGCUCUGUUGUUGGAGAAGAACGUGCGUGAGAGUAACUGUUCACGCAGUGACGGUAUCCAACCAGAAAGUCACGGCUAACUACGUGCCAGCAGCCGCGGUAAUACGUAGGUGGCAAGCGUUAUCCGGAUUUAUUGGGCGUAAAGCGAGCGCAGGCGGUUGCUUAGGUCUGAUGUGAAAGCCUUCGGCUUAACCGAAGAAGUGCAUCGGAAACCGGGCGACUUGAGUGCAGAAGAGGACAGUGGAACUCCAUGUGUAGCGGUGGAAUGCGUAGAUAUAUGGAAGAACACCAGUGGCGAAGGCGGCUGUCUGGUCUGCAACUGACGCUGAGGCUCGAAAGCAUGGGUAGCGAACAGGAUUAGAUACCCUGGUAGUCCAUACCGUAAACGAUGAGUGCUAGGUGUUGGAGGGUUUCCGCCCUUCAGUGCCGGAGCUAACGCAUUAAGCACUCCGCCUGGGGAGUACGACCGCAAGGUUGAAACUCAAAGGAAUUGACGGGGGCCCGCACAAGCGGUGGAGCAUGUGGUUUAAUUCGAAGCUACGCGAAGAACCUUACCAGGUCUUGACAUCUUGCGCUAACCUUAGAGAUAAGGCGUUCCCUUCGGGGACGCAAUGACAGGUGGUGCAUGGUCGUCGUCAGCUCGUGUCGUGAGAUGUUGGGUUAAGUCCCGCAACGAGCGCAACCCUUGUUACUAGUUGCCAGCAUUAAGUUGGGCACUCUAGUGAGACCGCCGGUGACAAACCGGAGGAAGGUGGGGACGACGUCAGAUCAUCAUGCCCCUUAUGACCUGGGCUACACACGUGCUACAAUGGACGGUACAACGAGUCGCAAGCUCGCGAGAGUAAGCUAAUCUCUUAAAGCCGUUCUCAGUUCGGACUGUAGGCUGCAACUCGCCUACACGAAGUCGGAAUCGCUAGUAAUCGCGGAUCAGCAUGCCGCGGUGAAUACGUUCCCGGGCCUUGCACACACCGCCCGUCA
rnacentral:rRNA from 1 species